CCCUUAGAUGUUCUGGGCUGCACGCGCGCUACACUGAUGCGCUCAACGAGUUUACGACCUUGCCCGGAAGGGUUGGGUAAUCUUUUUAAAACGCAUCGUGAUGGGGAUAGAUUAUUGCAAUUAUUAAUCUUUAACGAGGAAUUCCUAGUAAGCGCGAGUCAUCAGCUCGUGCUGAUUACGUCCCUGCCCUUUGUACACACCGCCCGUCGCUCCUACCGAUUGGGUGUGCUGGUGAAAUGUUCGGAUCGGCCGUUUGUCGCGGUUUCCGCGUCAUGUGGCUGAGAAGUUCAUUAAACCCUCCCACCUAGAGGAAGGAGAAGUCGUAACA
rnacentral:rRNA from 1 species